AAAUUAAUGAAUAGUGUUUAUUUUGUACAUUAUUGACAGAUUAUAAAAACACUGUCAGUUUACUCGUAGAAUGUAUGAUGAGUUUCACAUUAUGUUAAUUAAAUCCUUAGUUAGUUAGUUGAACCAAUGCAGCGUUGAUCGAAUUCAUACCGGUAGGUACUCUUUGGCAUUUUACCAUAUCUAAAUUGUCAUAUAUACCUCUGUAUAUAGGUGGGUUUCAGUAAACAUUGCCGGGUAGCUCGACAGCAAUAGUGGUCAAGAACAACAGCAAAACUAUUAAACAACAUUUCUAUAAUAUAAUGAAAAGUUUAAAUUUCUCGGUUACUAAAUUAAACAAAUGAAAUUAAAGAAAUUAGCAUCAUGGAUUUUCCCGUUGCUCUUAGAGAACCGCGCCGGUUUAUGACCUAUGUCUAUGAAACUGAUACUGGCGUUGGAUAAAGUGUGUAGGCAAUACAUUAAUUUUGCACCUUUGGCUUUGAUAAAAUGUAUAUAUAGGAACAAAAAAGUCGAUUUUGCCAAUUUAUCUGAAGAAUUGGCCAUAUAGAUCGAUUAUGGUGUUAUUCGACUUUUCUCUAGUAUCACUGGCUAUUUGCUCUGUUUAUUAAUACACAUUUGCUAUUCAAUCAGAUAUUUUACUAACAUCAGGCAUGCAGGGAUAUGAUAUGUGAUCAUGCAAUUAAAAUUUCAAGGUUACUUAUAGCCGUCGAAAUAAGAUUAUUCAAAUUAAUCUAAACGUUGAGGUAAACUAUAGAAAGACCUGCAUCUUCUGUAGUUCAUGAUCUUAUCUCAAACUCAUUAAUAAUUCAUGAGUAAAUUAGCCAACCAUAUUGCUUUAUUUUGCUCACAUGAUAAUACUGGAUACCUGAUGAAGUACAAUGAUCCGGCCUAGGACUGGAUCAAAAUUAAUUCAGUCCUUGGACUGGAUCAAAAUUAAUUAAACAAAUCCUCCAAUUCAGACUGGACUAGAUUUCAAGUCCUUGAUCUAGUCCUAGGCUUCGCCGGCCUCGGACUUGAUCAAAUUGCGACUUGAAAUC